UACGUAGGCAGCGAGCGUUGUUCGGAGUUACUGGGCGUAAAGGGUGUGUAGGCGGUUUUCUAAGUUUGGUGUGAAAUCUCCCGGCUCAACCGGGAGGGUGCGCCGAAAACUGGGAGACUAGAGUGCGGGAUGGGAUAGUAGAAUUCCUGGUGUAGCGGUGAAAUGCGUAGAUAUCAGGAGGAAUACCGGUGGUGUAGACGGCUCUCUGGACCGCCACUGACACUGAGACACGAAAGCGUGGGUAGCAAACAGG
rnacentral:rRNA from 1 species